GAAACGCGAUAGUUAAUGUGAAUUGCAGAAUUCAGUGAAUCAUCGAGUCUUUGAACGCACAUUGCGCCCAUAGGUAUUCCUUUGGGCAUGUCUGUUUGAGCGUCAUUACAACCCUCAGCUAACCGCUGGUUUUGAACCUGAACGGGUGACACCGCGCCGGUUUUAAAGUUGUAAGCUCUGCUGGCCUCUCUGCCCAACCAGAACAUAGUAAGCACUACUUGUCCGGGUGAAGCUGAACGGUACGGCCUGAACAAAACCUACCCACUCUCAAGGUUUGACCUCAGAUCAGACAAGGAUACCCGCUGAACUUAAGC
rnacentral:misc_RNA from 1 species